UGGGGAAUUUUGGACAAUGGACGCAAGUCUGAUCCAGCCAUGCCGCGUGCGGGAAGAAGGCCUUCGGGUUGUAAACCGCUUUUGUCAGGGAAGAAACGAGUUUCUCUAAUACAGAGACUUAAUGACGGUACCUGAAGAAUAAGCACCGGCUAACUACGUGCCAGCAGCCGCGGUAAUACGUAGGGUGCGAGCGUUAAUCGGAAUUACUGGGCGUAAAGCGUGCGCAGGCGGUUAUAUAAGACAGAUGUGAAAUCCCCGGGCUCAACCUGGGAACUGCAUUUGUGACUGUAUAGCUAGAGUGCGGCAGAGGGGGAUGGAAUUCCGCGUGUAGCAGUGAAAUGCGUAGAUAUGCGGAGGAACACCGAUGGCGAAGGCGAUCCCCUGGGCCUGUACUGACGCUCAUGCACGAAAGAGUGGGGAGCAAACA
rnacentral:rRNA from 1 species